rnacentral:rRNA from 1 species
AGUGGGGAAUCUUGGACAAUGGGGGCAACCCUGAUCCAGCGACGCCGCGUGGGUGACGAAGGCCUUCGGGUUGUAAAGCCCUUUUCUCGGGGACGAUGAUGACGGUACCCGAGGAAUAAGCACCGGCUAACUCCGUGCCAGCAGCCGCGGUAAGACGGAGGGUGCUAGCGUUGUUCGGAAUUACUGGGCGUAAAGGGCGCGUAGGCGGCCUGGUCAGUCGGGUGUGAAAGCCCGGGGCUCAACCCCGGAACGGCACCCGAGACGGCCAGGCUGGAGACCGGGAGAGGAGGGUGGAAUAGCCAGUGUAGAGGUGAAAUUCGUAGAUAUUGGCUGGAACACCGGUGGCGAAAGCGGCUCUCUGGCCCGGUUCUGACGCUGAGGCGCGAAAGCGUGGGGAGCAAA